AGGGUCAAGCCCAGAAGGGCUAGAAAAGGGUGAAAAAUCCCCCUUAUCCAUUAGAUGUUGCUGUAGAUGCUGUUGCCUCUUGUUUGCAAUUUUCCCUUUUUCCUUGUAUGGCUUAACAAGCACGCGUGAAUCACAAAUAAAAUGAGGGUUCCCCCUAGAUAAUAUAAGCUUCACAGUCUCUGGGUGGACAAAUGUAACAAAUCCAAACAUUCGCUUCUGCUGAUAUGGAAUCCUGACAUCUUGAACUGGUCCAAAAGUGCUAAAAUAAUUUGACACAUCUUCAUCUUUGAAAGUGCUGUCAGCUGGGAAUGUCAAGUAGAUCUGCCUAGAAGCCGAGUUUGCCUUUUCCUCCAUUGCCAUGGCCAAAAGGUCAUUCCUUUCAGAACAGAACUGUCCAAACUUGUGAAAUUCAU
rnacentral:misc_RNA from 1 species